rnacentral:rRNA from 1 species
AUGAAAACAUUUUUUGAACUGAUUCAAUUCUUGAGGAAAGUUAGUGUGGGAAGCAGACAUCACCUCAAGUGGCAUGUUCUUGGAUCUGACUUCUUCUUCUUCCUCUCGUGGGCGGCGUACUGGCAUCUGCUGGCGGGGAUCACGGCCCCGACGAAGGAGCCCCGGCGAGGGAGGGAGACAGGAGGCGUGGAUCACGGGCCCAGUGAAGGAGCCCCGGCGAGGGAGGGAGACGGCUGGCGCGGAUCACGGCCCCGGCGAAGGAUCCCGGCGAGGGAGGGAGGCGACUGGCGCGGAUCACGGCCCCGGCGAAGGAUCUCGACAAAGGAGGGAGGCGGCUGGCGCGGAUCACGGCCCCGGCGAAGGAUCCCGGCGAGGAAGGGGAUGGCAGCGGUGGAUCAGUCACCGGCCAGUCACGGCGCCACGGGCUCCCUCGCUCCGGCUGCCGCCAUCGCUCGCUCGCCCGUGAUGGCUGCCUCUGGCGGAAGAAGGCGGUGUCCCCUGAUCCCACGAUCCCCUGCCAGCCCCUCGGCAACCUCCCGAUCCACCGCCUGCCCCCCUCCCCCGGGCCAUGGAUCCCGCGCGCCACCGGCGGCCCUGGACCCGGCCUCCGCCGCCCCGCCCCCGUUCCCUGGUCCGGCCAGUGCGCCGCCCCGCCCCCACCCCACCUUAUGUCCAUCGGAUCCCACUGCCACCUCCUACGCGGGAUCGAGCAUCGCCGGUGGUUUCCUCCCUAGACGCUAUCGCCGGCCUUCUACUGCGACAGUGCCACCGCGGGCGAGCCACCUCUGCCCACCUCAGCGUGAGCCCGUCGCCCACACCGCAUCGGCCACCCUGCGUCCCCUUCGAUGCGACACACCGACGGCCACCACCCGCCUCCCCAUCGACGCCGUGCGCCGGCGGCCACCACCCGACGUCCACCGUGCCUACCUGCAUCCACCUACAGCUAGAGGAGGGCUUGACCUGCAGCAAGAGGACGACACGACCUGCAGCUCGGUGGCCACAUCCGGCAGAGAGGAUAGAGGCGGCUGGGUGAUGGAUCUUGCACGCCGCCCUCCGGCCACGAGGCUGCCGAGCUGCUGGGUCACCGUCCACAAGCAGCAGCAGGUCGUCUUUCCUACCUCCCAAAAACUAGCUCUAGUCCUGUUCGUCCCGACCUUCCUCUUCGACCGCAGCAGUGGCGAGCUCCUCCGAGCAGUGAGCUACAGUCCGCAUCGUCCUCUCCUCAAGCACUGUCGAGCUGCUGUUGAUGCACUACUGCUGCAGUUCACCUUGAGCGCUAAAGUUUUUCUCCAUGCUGAAUUUUGUGUGGCCCAAGGAAGGACGACGAACCACGCCUGGUGCCGCUACCAUCAUGAACAUAUGGAGGAAGAAGGUCACCACAUUGGCAGGGAGAAGGUCACCAUAGAGGUAGGGAGAAGGUCACCAUUUGCUCUGAAAUCCGGAUCCAAUGAUGUAGCUUUGGCUAUUCUUGAAAACAUGGAGAAGAAUGUACAUGCUCUCUUGUACUUCUUGAUUAGUACUGUCAUGAAUUAUGUAUUUGAACUUACCCUUGAUGCGGUCUUUUCUUUUUUUCUUUUUGCAGUUAUCGGAGUUGAGCGCGUAGCUAUUGAUUUUAGCCAGGGGCGUUCUCCCAAAAAGACAAGAUCUAGUGUUAUGAAGGGGCGGUUGGGAGCUCUGAAAGGUUCUACGGCUGCUUGCGCAGAGAGCCCCUCUACACCCAAGAAUCCCAUUGUGGAAUUAAUAGACAGCGAUGAUGAUGCGUUUGACAAGAUUGCUGGCAUGGGAAGAGUCACCAGGAGCGCUGCUGCCAAGGGUUUAUCUCCCCUUGCUGGAAUAGUGGCCCGUAGAGCUGGUGCUGCUAGGAAGGAUCCUAGUUUGGAGUCUGGAAAUCUUCACCCUCAUAAAUUCCCUCAUCUGGACAAGGCUCGCAAGUUGUAUAAUCUGUUGCUCAGUGAUGAAGCAUGUGAGAAGUAUGCCGACUUCACUGGGAAACGCAUCUGGGAAGUUUUUGCACCUGGGCAAAUGAUGGAGGGUGAUGUAAUGGACUUCCUCAUUGAUGAUUGGAAGAAAUAUCCCGAGAGAAAUGCUGAUUUUGCGUUUGGAAAAAGGGUAUUGCUGAGUCCAUAUUUCAUCACGAUCAUGAUGCCUCUAUUCAAACCUAUGAUUUUACCAAAGGAUAAGAAAUAUAAUGCGAGCAAGCAGCCCAAAUGGGAGGUUUUUGCAAAGAAACCAACGUUUGUCAAGGUUCCACUUCAAGGGGCGAAUGAAUGUGGCCAUUAUACUCUGAAGUAUGCGGGAUCCUAUGAUGGUGAGAAGAUCGUUGAGAACAUUCGAAAUAAUGACCCUCGUAUUGUUGAUUGGAACGCUGAGGAUCUGUAUAGAGUUGUGUUCAACCAGAAUAACCAGCUUCUGGUGACGGAGCUUCCCAAGGAGGUUCAGGCUUUGGCUCCUGGUGCAUAG